rnacentral:rRNA from 1 species
UACGUAGGGGGCAAGCGUUGUCCGGAAUUAUUGGGCGUAAAGGGUGCGUAGGCGGUCGGGUAAGUCUGAUGUGAAAUCUCACAGCUUAACUGUGAAACUGCAUUGGAUACUAUCCGGCUCGAGGAAUGGAGGGGAGACUGGAAUACUUGGUGUAGCAGUGAAAUGCGUAGAUAUCAAGUGGAACACCAGUGGCGAAGGCGAGUCUCUGGACAUUUCCUGACGCUGAGGCACGAAA